UACAGAGGGGGCAAGCGUUGUUCGGAAUUACUGGGCGUAAAGGGCGCGUAGGCGGCCUUCUAAGUCGAACGUGAAAUCCCCGGGCUCAACCCGGGAACUGCGUCCGAUACUGGAAGGCUUGAAUCCGGGAGAGGGAUGUGGAAUUCCAGGUGUAGCGGUGAAAUGCGUAGAUAUCAGGAGGAACACCGGUGGUGUAGACGGCUUUCUGGACCGUAACUGACGCUGAGACACGAAAGCGUGGGUAGCAAACAGG
rnacentral:rRNA from 1 species